rnacentral:lncRNA from 1 species
CACUGGCUGGACCACGUGUUGGACUUCUUCAGUCCUUUGAACUUCUUCUCGUUCUUUUGUUCCUUGACUUUUUUUGACUUCAAGACAGUACUUAAUAAUUUAAUAAUGUAUAGUACCACUCUCUCUCUAUCUUGUAGGUGAUGUUUCAGAAUUUUUUUAAAAAGAAGGUGCUCGUUGAAGUUGUUGCCAUUAGUUACGAGGAGCCACGCCCACUUGAAACAGACAAGCUGCAAGGGAGAUGAUUUUAGCAGGUGUUGCAUUGAAGCUAAAAUAAAAAUAAAAUCUGUUGAUAGUGUCAGUGCCUAUAUUGAAUCAAAUUUUGCAUGUCAAUCAGUAUUCAGGAGGUUGAUUUGACCUUUGUGUGUUCGGGUGACCUUUCAAACUGAAGCCCAUAUCAUGACCCACAGGAUUGAAUUGA